AACGAACGCUAUCGGUAUGCUUAACACAUGCAAGUCGAACGGACUAAUUGGGGCUUGCUCCAAUUAGUUAGUGGCAGACGGGUGAGUAAUAUAUAGGAAUCUACCUAGUAGUAUGAAAUAAUUGUUAGAAAUGACAGCUAAUAUCAUAUACGCCUUACGAGGGAAAGAUUUAUCGCUAUUAGAUGAGCCUAUAUUGGAUUAGCUAGUUGGUAAGGUAAUGGCUUACCAAGGCAGUGAUCUAUAGCUGGUCUGAGAGGAUGAUCAGCCACACUGGAAUUGAGAUACGGUCCAGAC
rnacentral:rRNA from 1 species